rnacentral:rRNA from 1 species
AUUGAACGCUGGCGGCAGGCCUAACACAUGCAAGUCGAACGAGCGGCGGACGGGUGAGUAAUGUCUGGGAAACUGCCUGAUGGAGGGGGAUAACUACUGGAAACGGUAGCUAAUACCGCAUACCAUCGGAUGUGCCCAGAUGGGAUUAGCUAGUAGGUGGGGUAAAGGCUCACCUAGGCGACGAUCCCUAGCUGGUCUGAGAGGAUGACGAGCCACACUGGAACUUAGACACGGUCCAGACUCCUACGGGAGGAAGCAUUGGGGAAUAUUGCACAAUGGGCGCAAGCCUGAUGCAGCCAUGCCGCGUGUGUGAAGAAGGCCUUCGGGUUGUAAAGUACUUUCAGCGGGGAGGCGUUACCCGCAGAAGAAGCACCGGCUAACUCCGUGCCAGCCGCCGCGGUAAUUC